CCGCAAAACGCGGACGCCUUUACAGCACUUUACGACGGCUUCUGUGCGGCGCGGAGCCGGUGGAGCGGGUCGGGAGGUCGGGUGCGCGCUGGCCGCGGGGCUGGACCACAGUAGACCCUGUGGCUGCCUGGGGCGCGGAGUUUUUUAGGCGCCCCACAACAGUGAGCAGGAAAAGCGUGGCACGUUCGCACCGUCCAGGACUGGUCAGCGGUGUGAACGAAUGAAGUCCUUCAGCACGAGACGGCGUGGGCGGGGCUCACAGGAAGUGCAGCCACAGACCCCUUGGAGACGGCCCGUCGCUGCCGUGGCAGAGUCUGCAGGUUCGUGAGUACGGUUUGACGGAUGUGAAAGCGCACAGCCACGGGCCCACCACCCAGAUCGCGAUGCGGACCCUCCCGGCCUCACAGAAGGCUCCCUCUGUCCCCUCCCGGGGGUGCCGCCCCUCCGCACAGUGACCGUUGUUGGACCUCAGGGCCAUGCACUGGUUUGUGUGUUCGUAUAACGGCAGCCCUGCUGCGCUGAACUCUUUCCUGGCUGGCUUCUCGGGCGCAGCCUCGCUUCGCCCGUGUGGAUUUCUACACCAGAAGUUUCCUCUUUUUCCUUGCUGGAUGGUAUUCCCCUGCGUGAUGCGUCACAACCUCGUUCUCUUUUUAGUGUCGUUGGAUGUUUGCGUUGUUUUAGUUUGGGGUCAGUAGGAAUAAAUAAAUCUGCUGGGGACGUGGUUGUAUCCGUCUUCUGUGGAACACGGCACUCAUUUCUGUUGGGUCCGGUGCCCAGGAACUGGAAUUGCUAGGUUAUAGGACAGGUGUGCUUUUACCCUGGUGGGCAGAGCCAGCAGCUUUCCACAGUGGACAGCUGACGCGUCCACUGCCUGCUGGUGAGAGUUCCAGGCUCUCCGUGUGCUCGCCCACGUGUGGUGUUGCAGGCCCCUUGAGUCUUAGUGGGCGUGUGGAUCUCUCACUGUGGUUUUAAUUUCCAGUUCCCUGAUGAUUAAUGAUGGUAAUCACCUCAUGUGUGAUUGAUUUUUCUAAGUAAAUGUUUUUUUUUGUUUUGUUUUUUUAAAGGCAAAAGUAUUUUUCUCCCCCGUCACAGUGUUAUUUUGGUGCUGGGUCUGUAUCUGUGAGUAAACCUGUUUUCUCCUAAGACGCUGUCACCGCUGGCACAGUGACCGUGUGGCCUGAAGAAUAAAGUUACGCCCAGGGAGAGCCCCAAGGUGGGGGCACCCCUCAUUCUGGCCCUGCUGCCAGAAGUCAUGUGAGCUGGGACCAUUUUGCCAUCCUCAGCUGAAUGCUUUAAUCAGGAUGACUCUCAGACACGCCGUAGGAUGCGGGAACCUUCCUCUGUGGAAGGAGUGGGCUGGAACGGGAGAAUCCCAGAUCAGUGGGCGGAUGGGCCUGGACUCUCGGCGGGGCUCUGCUUCCUUUCGUGGGUCUAACCCCCAGAACAAGUCUCUUCCUCCUCCUCCUCUACCUGCUUUUAACAGAUUUUGAUUUGAAAAUAAGCAAUACUAUAAUUCCUUACACCGGGAACUUAGCAUAACCAAAAUAUAAGAAAUGUUAAAGCCAUAUGAGUUGUUAUUAAAUGCGUGUGCCAAUCAGCUGUGUAGACCUCGGUUCUUCAGCUUUGGCAAUGUGGUCACUUGUGAUGCAGACUGAUAUUUUUUCCCAUGAUAAACCUAGAAGCUUUUUUAACCAAAAUUAAACCCCUGAAACCCCUGCCUCUAUCAAAUUGCAGAAUUUCCACAAACUUCAUUCUCUUGGAGGGGAUUUGGUUUCGGGUUUUCUAAAACCUGGGCGGGCGGUGGGAUGUGACUCACCCUAACCUCAUUUGCUUGCAUUUUACUUUGUUUCUUUGGGUUUUUUUGUUUUGCAGUAACAUUUUUUUGUUGUGCCUGAGUAGCAGUGUUUCCUUUCAGCAUUGUUAAACUGUGCACUGUCAGAGCUCCUUACUUUUUUU